rnacentral:rRNA from 1 species
UACGGGUGAGUAACACGUAAGCAACCUUCCUCUAAAUUUGGGAUAACCUUGCCAACGCAGGGCUAAUACCGGAUGUGAAUCCUGUUUCGCAUGGAAUUGGAUUUAAAGGUGACCUCUUCAUGAAAGUUGUCGUUUAGAGAUGGGCUUGCAGGCCAUUAGCUUGUUGGUGGGGUAACGGCCUACCAAGGCUGCGAUGGCUAGCCGACCUGAGAGGGUGAUCGGCCACAUUGGGACUGAGAUACGGCCCAGACUCCUACGGGAGGCAGCAGUAGGGAAUUUUGCGCAAUGGACGAAAGUCUGACGCAGCAACGCCGCGUGAGGGAUGAAGGCCUUCGGGUUGUAAACCUCUGUUGAGUGGGAAGAAAAUGUCCGAGCUUAAUACGUUCGGAACUUGACGGUACCACUCGAGGAAGCUCCGGCUAACUACGUGCCAGCAGCCGCGGUAAUACGUAGGGGGCAAGCGUUGUUCGGAAUCACUGGGCGUAAAGGGAGCGUAGGCGGGAAAGUAAGUUAGGAGUGAAAUACACAGGCUCAACCUGUGGCCCGCUCUUAAAACUGCUUUUCUUGAGUAUGGGAGAGGAAGAUGGAAUUCCAGGUGUAGCGGUGGAAUGCGUAGAUAUCUGGAAGAACACCAGUUGCGAAGGCGGUCUUCUGGCCCAAUACUGACGCUGAGGCUCGAAAGCUAGGGGAGCAAACAGGAUUAGAUACCCUGGUAGUCCUAGCCGUAAACGAUGGACACUAGUUGCUGGAAGGUUUGAUUCUUUCAGUGACGCAGCUAACGCAUUAAGUGUCCCGCCUGGGGAGUACGCUCGCAAGGGUGAAACUCAAAGGAAUUGACGGGGGCCCGCACAAGCGGUGGAAUAUGUGCUUUAAUUCGAUACAACGAAGAACCUUACCUGGGUUUGACAUGGGGGUGAAAGGUUUCAGAGAUGAGAUCCCUUCCCUCGGGAACACCCUACACAGGUGCUGCAUGGUUGUCGUCAGCUCGUGUCGUGAGAUGUUGGGUUAAGUCCCGCAACGAGCGCAACCCCUGUCCUUAGUUGCCAUCAGGUAAAGCUGGGAACUCUAGGGAGACUGCCUGGAAUAACCAGGAGGAAGGUGGGGAUGACGUCAAAUCCUCAUGGCCCUUACGCCCAGGGCUAGACACGUACUACAAUGGCCGGUACAACGGGAUGCAAGACUGCGAGGUUUAACUAAUCCCUUAAAACCGGUCUCAGUUCGGAUUGGAGUCUGCAACUCGACUCCAUGAAGGUGGAAUCGCUAGUAAUCGCGGAUCAGCAUGCCGCGGUGAAUACGUUCCCGGGCCUCGUACACACCGCCCGUCAAGCCAUGAAAGACGGGAGUACCCGAAGUCGUUUAUCUAACCAGCAAUGGAGGAAUACGCCUAAGGUAAGACCGUUGAUUGGGGCUAAGUCGUAACAAGGUA